GAUGAACGCUGGCGGCGUGCCUAAUACAUGCAAGUCGAGCGAACGGACGAGAAGCUUGCUUCUCUGAUGUUAGCGGCGGACGGGUGAGUAACACGUGGAUAACCUACCUAUAAGACUGGGAUAACUUCGGGAAACCGGAGCUAAUCCCGGAUAAUAUUUUGAACCGCAUGGUUCAAAAGUGAAAGACGGUCUUGCUGUCACUUAUAGAUGGAUCCGCGCUGCAUUAGCUAGUUGGUAAGGUCACGGCUUACCAAGGCAACGAUGCAUAGCCGACCUGAGAGGGUGAUCGGCCACACUGGAACUGAGACGCGGUCCAGACUCCUACGGGAGGGAGCAGAAGGGAAUCUUACGCAAUGGGCGGAAGCCUGACGGAGCAACGCCGCGUGAGUGAUGAAGGUCUUCGGAUCGUAAAACUCUGUUAUGAGUGAAGAACAUAUGUGUAAGUAACUGUGCACAUCUUGACGGUACCUAAUCAGAAAGCCACGGCUAACUACGUG
rnacentral:rRNA from 1 species